AGUGAACGCUGGCGGUAGGCCCAACACAUGCAAGUCGAACGGCAGCACAGGAGAGCUUGCUCUCUGGUGGCGAGUGGCGGACGGGGGAGGAAUACAUCGGAAUCUACUCUUUCGUGGGGGAUAACGUAGGGAAACUUACGCUAAUACCGCAUACGACCUACGGGUGAAAGCAGGGGACCUUCGGGCCUUGCGCGAUUGCAUGAGCCGAUGUCGGAUUAGCCAGUUGGCGGGGUAAAGGCCCACCAAGGCGACGAUCCGUAGCUGGUCUGAGAGGAUGAUCAGCCACACUGGAACUGAGACACGGUCCAGACUCCUACGGGAGGCAGCAGUGGGGAAUAUUGGACAAUGGGCGCAAGCCUGAUCCAGCCCUACCGCGUGGGUGAAGAAGGCCUUCGGGUUGUAAAGCCCUUUUGUUGGGAAAGAAAUCCAGCUGGCUAAUACCCGGUUGGGAUGACGGUACCCAAAGAAUAAGCACCGGCUAACUUCGUGCCAGCCGCCGCUGUAA
rnacentral:rRNA from 1 species